CUUUUACGGAUUGGGAAAAAAUAGAUGUCAUCAUAAUCUUCAACAUCGGUUCUACCUUUAAAACUUAGAUUCUUUUAAACAAAUUCAAGUAACAAUUACUCGAGACCAAGAAAUAAUCAUUACUAGGUUACACGUAAUUGAUUCUAGUUACAUUUUUGAGGAAAUAGCUAGCAAUAAAUGACACUCGAAAAACUACCCUGCAAUUCAAAAUAUAACCAGGGAAAACUAAGGGCCCGUUUGAUAGGCUCUGAAUGACCUCUUAAUACACAAUAAACACUUAUUCGGUCAGAGAUAACCAAUUCAACAUGUUUGGUAGGGAGCUCUGAAUUGAAUGAAAUAUUGCUUACCGAUUCAGUCAAUAAAUUAAUACUUAUUCGUUCAGAGAUUGACCGAAUGGAAUUUAGAAAAAAAUAUCCUAUAAGUUUUUUGACUCUUUUCAACAAACUCCUCUAUCUUCACAGUCAUGUUCCUGUUAUUAUUUAUAUAUACGAAAAAUAGUCACAUAUGGUUGAAGAGAGAGAUAAGGAGGCGUUGGAGAACUUUAUGGUUGCCAGAGGUUUCGAAAAGUGAGCUAUAUUUUUUUUAAUUAAAUUAUUUUAUUAUUUUAUAAUUAAAAAGAUGAUUUUUCGGUGAGAAAUUAGAAUUAUGUUAAAAAUUGAACAUUUAUAUAUAUAAUUUCAUUUACAAUAUUUGUUUUUAUUAAUAAAAAUAUAUAAUAUUAAUAAUUGCAAUGGCCACUGAAUUUUAUUUAUAUAUUAUUCAUAAUUUUGUUUAUGAAUAUAUAUAUAUAUUCAACAAUAUGGGGCUAGUAAUGUAAAAUUACAUAUUAUUCAGAUACAAUAGGUUUUUAGUUAUCAAACAAGCUUAAACGUUCAGCAUGAAGCAUUCAGACAUUGAUCUUAUCCAUUCAGUUAUGUAUUCAGCAUUCAGCAUUCAGCGCUUAAUUCUAUCAAACGGAGCCUAAUUGUACUGUUAUGAACUGGUUUCUCGACCUGCUAAGUAUGAAGUUUGUACUAUUUUCUUGCUUUUGGCUGUUCUUCCAGUUAUAUCCAUGCUUUAUUUUUUUAUUUUUAAAUGUGG
rnacentral:lncRNA from 1 species